GGCUGAGUUGACAAAGCGGCUUCCACAGUAACAUAAGGACAAAGGGUGUAUGUAGAUAUGCACGUGGUAGCAGGUUCUACUAAAGGAACCUGGACCGACCAUUCUUACUCACAUUCUUUGGGAGCUGUAUUCUAAUACUUUCAGAAAAGCCAUGGGAACACACCAGAGUGACUGCUCGAGUAAAUAAGUAGCAUACACAGCAAGCCAAACCAUUGAUGUACACAUCACUGGGCCCAAUACUAUGAAAUCUCACAUAAGAAACUUGAAAGUGAAAGGUGGAAUUCUGAGGAUACUGGUUUUGCUUAAUAAACAGCAUUUCAACAGUUAUUGUCAUGAUAUUGCUACUGAUGCUGAACAAAGACCCAAGAACCAGGGUGAUGUUUAGCAUGGGCUGGCCUCAGCAGGACUGAAAGGACAUCAAUAAAGGAGAACAGAGAGAAGGAAGGAGGACAAGUGCCAACUUUGAGCAGAAGCAGCCUCCAAGUGUUUUCUCUGCUCUCCGGCAAGCACGUGACCUGACCACUGCUGCUAUCUGGAAAGGAAGUGGUGGAAUGUGGAAGUUUACAGGGCGUUCGUGUACACGCAUCUUCUGGCCCAGAGCCCGUGGAAUCCAGCCAGCAGUUGCUGUGCCACUGUGUUCUCUGGCCUCCCCCUCUCAGCGGCCUUGGGCAGCCUGGGAAUCUCCGGCUUCGUGCUUUUCUGAGGGGACAGGCCUUUGAGCAGAGUUUUAGGAAGUUGGUCAAAACAACAACAACAACAAAAUGUUUAUAGUUUACAUCCUUUGCAGCUG
rnacentral:lncRNA from 1 species